AAAGUUCUAGCGCAUGGCCUUGCUGAUGUGUCAGUGAGGUGACGAGGAAGAGGUUGUCGAUUUAUCAGCGGAUGCCUCUCGGCUUGCCGGUCGUUAGAAUACUGUAAAAACUGUCGGGUAACUGGCAGGACAGAGCGGUA
rnacentral:ncRNA from 1 species